rnacentral:rRNA from 1 species
CCUGGCUUAGGAUGGACGCUAGCGACAGGCCUAACACAUGCAAGUCAGGGGCAGCACAAGGAGCAAUCUGAGGUGGCGACCGGCGCACGGGUGAGUAACACGUAUGCAACCUGCCUGUAAGCGGGGAAUAACCCGUUGAAAGACGGACUAAUACCGCAUAAUACUAAAUUACUGCAUGGUAAUUUAUUUAAACAUUUAUGGCUUACAGAUGGGCAUGCGCAUGAUUAGCUAGUUGGAGAGGUAACGGCUCCCCAAGGCAACGAUCAUUAGGGGUUCUGAGAGGAAGGUCCCCCACACUGGUACUGAGACACGGACCAGACUCCUACGGGAGGCAGCAGUGAGGAAUAUUGGUCAAUGGACGAGAGUCUGAACCAGCCAAGUCGCGUGCAGGAAGAAUGUCCCUAUGGAUUGUAAACUGCUUUUGCAGGGGAAUAAAGUGCAUCACGUGUGAUGUUUUGUAUGUACUCUGCGAAUAAGGAUCGGCUAACUCCGUGCCAGCCGCCGC